ACCACAAAUUGUUUUGACAUAUCUCCAUAGGCGCGGUGGAAAAGUAGGAGUAGGUAGUAUAUCAGCCGAAUAUUUCGCCAAAAGUGGCCUUUAAACCGAGGGGAGUGACACAUACUGAUUUGACUUUUUAAUGGAAACGCCUGACACUGUUUUUGAAAUGAUAUAGUAACAUUACUACAAUAUCGUUCGUAUGCAAAGAGUGUUGCUUUGAUCGAGGUUUUGAUGUUGUGCUUUGAAACGGAUUGACGCGUAUGUAAUUGUAUAACAAUUACUGAGAGGUAUUUUAAACACAGCAAACUGUGAUCAAACUUCGCGAUUUCUACAUCGUGUUUUCAGUUGUCAUUCCAAAUAAAAAAUUUUCUCCAGGGUGGUAGAAGAAGUCGUAGUUUUCGUGAUUAUGGAUCCCCUAAAUUGUUUCACUUGGAUCCGUUAGCGCUAACCUUCGACUUUGCUUCCGGAGAUUCAAUGACAAUCCAGCCGAAUUUAGUUUCAUGGCUGGAGAGCGAGCCGUCAUCAAGUUAGUGGCAGCUGCUGUUAAAAAAAGGGGAAUCGGUUUCUUCACCAGACGGAGCCAAAGCAAUAAUUCCGGAACUAAAAAAUAUCAUGCGAUUGAUAAUGAAAACUGUGCGUGAGAAGAUUGUCUUGUUCUACCAGAAAAGGUUCGAUGGAUCUGAAGAGCAGAAACAUUUUCUAAAGUCGUUGGUUGAAACUGAUAUACGUAUUAGUGAAGAUGCCCAUGGAGUAUUUGGCAAAGUUCGGUGUAAUUUAUGCGAACAAGCAAACAAUAUUAUUUGUCGUCCCGAGAAGACUGGUCGUUGGAGGGUUUCUAACUUUUUUGCUCACAUCAAGAACGUCCAUAAGGUAGAAUUUGUGACUACGAUGAAUAGCCAAAAGCGUCCGUUCGCUGCUAUAUUCACCUCGAAACUGGUUGACGACGAGGCGCCAAAGCGACAAAUGACGGACGCGUUAUACACCGAAUCUAUGGUCGUUGAGACUCUGGAUGAUAACAUGUCGGACAAAAUCAGUCCUUAUCAGUGGAGUACUGAAUCAGAUGAACCGACACAAUUUGAGGAUAUUUUUUGGGCCACAAUGCAGAAGGAAGUUGGACCAAUACCAAUAACAGUUAUAGCUUGUUUGGAGUACUCCGAAUAUAUAAAUGCCGCGUUAGGCAAUUUAGGGGAUCCAGAAAUUCGAGAAAUUGAAAGCGAUAUAAGAUGUGUUUCACUUGGAUCCGUUAGCGCUAACCUUCGACUUUGCUUCCGGAGAUUCAAUGACAAUCCAGCCGAAUUUAGUUUCAUGGCUGGAGAGCGAGCCGUCAUCAAGUUAGUGGCAGCUGCUGUUAAAAAAAGGGGAAUCGGUUUCUUCACCAGACGGAGCCAAAGCAAUAAUUCCGGAACUAAAAAAUAUCAUGCGAUUGAUAAUGAAAACUGUGCGUGAGAAGAUUGUCUUGUUCUACCAGAAAAGGUUCGAUGGAUCUGAAGAGCAGAAACAUUUUCUAAAGUCGUUGGUUGAAACUGAUAUACGUAUUAGUGAAGAUGCCCAUGGAGUAUUUGGCAAAGUUCGGUGUAAUUUAUGCGAUAUUAUAAGGAUAUUUUUUGGGCCACAAUGCAGAAGGAAGUUGGACCAAUACCAAUAACAGUUAUAGCUUGUUUGGAGUACUCCGAAUAUAUAAAUGCCGCGUUAGGCAAUUUAGGGGAUCCAGAAAUUCGAGAAAUUGAAAGCGAUAUAAGAUGUGUUUCACUUGGAUCCGUUAGCGCUAACCUUCGACUUUGCUUCCGGAGAUUCAAUGACAAUCCAGCCGAAUUUAGUUUCAUGGCUGGAGAGCGAGCCGUCAUCAAGUUAGUGGCAGCUGCUGUUAAAAAAAGGGGAAUCGGUUUCUUCACCAGACGGAGCCAAAGCAAUAAUUCCGGAACUAAAAAAUAUGCGAUUGAUAAUGAAAACUGUGCGUGAGAAGAUUGUCUUGUUCUACCAGAAAAGGUUCGAUGGAUCUGAAGAGCAGAAACAUUUUCUAAAGUCGUUGGUUGAAACUGAUAUACGUAUUAGUGAAGAUGCCCAUGGAGUAUUUGGCAAAGUUCGGUGUAAUUUAUGCGAACAAGCAAACAAUAUUAUUUGUCGUCCCGAGAAGACUGGUCGUUGGAGGGUUUCUAACUUUUUUGCUCACAUCAAGAACGUCCAUAAGGUAGAAUUUGUGACUACGAUGAAUAGCCAAAAGCGUCCGUUCGCUGCUAUAUUCACCUCGAAACUGGUUGACGACGAGGCGCCAAAGCGACAAAUGACGGACGCGUUAUACACCGAAUCUAUGGUCGUUGAGACUCUGGAUGAUAACAUGUCGGACAAAAUCAGUCCUUAUCAGUGAAGUACUGAAUCAGAUGAACCGACACAAUUUGAGGCUGGGUGUACGUCAUUUUCUAACAAUGAACCGGUUAUGUCAGAUCUUGUUACAGUUGACAUAACUCAAAUGUCCCACGAUACAUUGUGCUGUGAUGAAGAAUCCGUCAAUGGCGAAAUGCGUGAGUCCCUCGUUGCCACUUGUUCAUAUUAUGCCAAGCAGUUAAACUUGGAUCGUGUUUCGGAACGGCCGACCGCAGCACCAGAGAUUUAGAGGGCCGCAUCAUCACUUUUUCAAAUACAAUCGACAUAUUAUCAAAUUUGGCAUCUCGUAGCGCCAAAACUCGUGGCCAAGGAAUGCGGUAUACUAUGCUGGAAAAAGAUCUUUUUACAUAUAGGUAACGAUAUUUACAUUUAGACCUUGUGGGAAUAAUGAAUCAUAUCACAUGUUCCCUGUAGAUUCAUACAAGGAGGCAAGGAACUCUACGAGUUCGAUCGAGCAAACACUCCUUCACCGCACAUUCGGACAGUGCAACGUUAUUUAAGCAAAAGUGCUGAAUGUUCUACGGAGGGCAAGCUGAUGAUAAGAGAGCUGAAGGAAUAUCUGGAAAGAAACCGAUACCCACUUGCAAUAUGCUGGAGCGAAGAUGAGACCAGAAUUACCGGUGGUAUUGAAUAUAAUCUGAACGAAGACAAACUCUCUGGUCUGGUAGCACCAAUCGGCACAAAUGGAAUGCCCAUCAUGAACCUAUUUAAAUGUUCUUCGCCACGGAAAGUUUUAGCGGAUAUACAAGAUAACCCCAUCGGACGCAACGUUCAACUAUGCAUGGCUCAACCCAUUUGUAUGGACGCAGCUCCAUUUUGUAUACUUUACUACUGCACGAACAAUAAAUUUUCAACAACCGAUAGAAAAACAAGUGGAACUUUGUUCAAGCUGAAAUGGACAAAGAAGACAUUAAAGUUGUUUGCAUGGUAACUGAUGGUGAUAGCCGAUUCAUUGGAGCUAUGCUGAAAAAAAUGAAGCUACCGAAUCAUAACGACAAUCCCUUUGGUGCUUGGUUCCAACAAUGACAGUCUAUGCGUUCAGGAUCCAACUCAUCUAGCGAAUAAAUUUCGGACGAGGCUUGUCAAUCAGACCAAGCAGUUGAUAAUCGGUCGGUUUCAAGUAUCAAAAAUACAUUUGGAAGAACUAGUGCGUGAUGUUUCGAAAGACCAACACGGUUUGGCCGAAGGAGACCUUAGUGACAAGGACAAGAUGAAAUUUCGACCAGUAGAAAAAAUUACAUCUGAACAAGUCAUGUCAAGCCUCGAUCAGCAUAUUCCUCUUUCCAACGGCACUGUGGCAUACCUGAAAAUUAUUUCAUGGAUUAUAUCCUCGUACAUGGAUCCAUCGAUAUCGCCGUCGCAACGAAUCUUUAACGUGUGGUGAGUGAUGGGCAUUAGUACGCCUACAUCAUACACAAAGAACUAUAACUCACUUUUGUUAGCAAAAAUAUUUCAACUGUAUCUUAAGGAACCACAACUUCGAAAGGAGACUUAGUAUUAUUGUUUAUAAUUACAGGAAAGCUCUGUUUCUGAUUAGGUGCUGGCGCAAUUGGUGCAUCUCGAAGCAUAACAAUAUGUUGAACUGUAUUGAUUUUGUAGUGUACACUUGAUACACUUUGUUGUUAGUUUAACUUUAGUGUGUACGAGCCGGAGAGUGAAAUAGUUUUUCAGUGUGAAUUAAACAAUACGCGGUAAUAAACGUGUUCUCGAAUCGUCUGCGUGUUCUACUUUUCUUUAGACAUCACGCGAUUUACGACAAUCCCGGUGUUACCCCAU